rnacentral:rRNA from 1 species
GACGAACGCUGGCGGCGCGCUUAACACAUGCAAGUCGAGCGAAGCGGCGGACGGGUGAGUAACACGUGAGUAACCUGCCUUAGACAUUGGGAUAGCCUCGGGAAACCGGGAUUAAUACCAAAUGGUCUAAGAUGGACUCGCGUCCCAUUAGCUAGUUGGGAGGUAACGGCCCACCAAGGCGACGAUGGUUAGCCGGCCGGAGAGGGUGACCGGCCACAGUGGGACUGAGAUACGGCCCAGACUCUACGGGAGGCAGCAGGGGGGGAUAGUGCACAAUGGGCGAAAGCCUGAUGCAGCGAGGCCGCGUGGGGGAUGAAGGCUUUCGGGUUGUAAACCUCUUUCGCUAUCGAACGGGUAGGUGGAGAAGAAGCGCCGGCUAACUACGUGCCAGCCGCCGCGGUAAUAC